CCUCCCGGGUUCAAGCGAUUCUCCUGCCUCAGCCUGCCCAGUAGCUGGGACUACAGGAAUGCACCACCGCACCCGGCUAAUUUUUUUUGUGUAUUUUUAGUAGAGACGGGUUUUUUCCAUGUUGGCCAGGCUGGUCUUGAAUGCCUAACCUCAGGUGAUCCGCCUGCCUCGGCCUCCCAGAGUGCUGGGAUAAAGGCAUGAACCACCACUCCCGGCCCCAAUAUUACUUUUAAUGGCAAAAACCGCAAUUACUUUUGCACCAACCUAACAGAAGAGCGCAAUCUUCCCUCACUUGAGUUCCUGCAAGGUUCUUACCAGAGAUCUACUUUCAGAUAUUUGAAUAUUCCUCUCACUACAGAUGAUAGCAAAUAGAAUUGUGGAGAAAAGAUCUUAAGUGUUGCAAAAAUGGUUCCUUUUAAAAUGAUAUAAAGAAAAGCAAUCACUAGUGUCCUCUGAUGACUACGUAAUCCUACUGCCAGAUUGCAAAGGGAAGACAAAUUUUACUGCAGACAAUCCAAGUUAUGAAGAUAUAUUUCCUCCAGAUUACAUAAUUUUUAAAAAUAAGAGACCUACUGGGAAAGGUAAGUAAGCAUGUGGGAUAAGAAGGACUUGCAUUAUAUAAAGGCACUACUUAAAUGGUAAAUUAUCCAUCUGGGAAUGUACAAUAAAAUACUUCCUUCCCUAGCCAUAAAGACUUAAAAGAUAUGUAAGAUUCUGAACAACUUUAAAAUGAAAUGGAAUUCGGACAACAUAUCAUAAUGGAUCUUGUAACAAUAAAUCUAAAAGGUUUUUAUUACAAUAAACCCCCUUGAAGAAAAAUUUUCCCCCUGAAUAUGACACAUAAAAAGAGUAGACUUCACACAAUUGUGUGUUAGAAAAUAAAAAAGUGAACUUCUCUAGACUAGAAGAGUAAAAAGCAAUUGCGAUAUUUUAGUACUUCCAAAGAAAAUUGCUGGCUGAAAUAGACUUUGUACAUUGACUCUGCCUGUAUACACUGCAAUUUCACCAGGUGUUGGAUAGAUAACUUUAAUAUGACUUGCCCCACAUCCAGUCACUCACAGUCAGUUCAAGGAGAAAGUGUUUGGAAUAUUCCCAAGUGCUUAUCUCUUAUAUUGUUCAAUGUUUCAUGGUAUAGUUAAUACUAUAAAACAAUAGACUAGAUUUUGGGCUGAGACGAUGGGAUUUUCUAGAUAUAUAAUCAUGUCAUCUGCAAACAGGGACAAUUUGACUUCCUCUUUUCCUAAUUGUCUCCUUAAGCUGAUAAGCAACUUCAGCAAAGUUUCAGGAUAUAAAAUCAAUGUGCAAAAAUCACAGGCAUUCUUAUACACCAAUAACAGACAAA
rnacentral:lncRNA from 10 species